rnacentral:tRNA from 1 species
UGGCUCAGAUGGUAAAGCAUCUGCCUACAAUGCGGGAGACCCAGGUUCGAUCCCUGG